GGGACUCCAAUACUUUGUCCAGCCCCCUCACAAUCUCACUUUACUCUUUUUCAGAAAAAUAGUUUCUCUCCUAUCUCUCUACGAAAGCAGAAGCUCAUAGAGAACCUUCCACCCUCGAGCUAGCUCAGCUUGUUCUACUACCAACUCACCAUCUUAGUCCGUGGAGCUGUUGUGCCUAAGUUGCGUUCUUUGAGUUGCUGCUCCUUUUCUUGCGUCUAACAAGGUAAGUGGGAGCAGAUGGAGGAAAUGUUGAAGGUAAACCCGGUGGUGGCAGCGGUGCUGUGUAAUUUGAACCUGUUAUACGUGGCUCUCAAGAAUAGUUGAUGGCCUAAUGCCUUUUCGUAAUUCAUUGCUCUAGGAGCAACUCUUUUGCAAAACUGUUAAAUUCCCUGUUUACUUAUGGCAUUGGUGGUAUGCCUAAGUUCCUUUCUAAAUACAUUUGAUGGAUGACUGUAAUAGUGGAUCCUUUUAAGUGUGCUGUUAUCUCGUGUGCUCCUUAUUAUUAUAACUAUGCGA